GUUUACUUGGGGACCUGGUUUCGCCAAAUUUGUAGUCUGAUUGUGCGAGGGUAAGAAAAGGCAUGUAAAAUUCAAAUUGGAUUCCAAGUCUUCUUGCUCUUGUUUCGUCUUUGAAAUGAGCAAGUCUCAUAAAUCUUAAGGCUGAAAGCUUGUUCUUGUUUCCUCAUCUUCUUGGCUAGAAGCUGAAAUAGAAGCAAUAAAUGCUGAGGCUUUAUGAGAGUUUAGAGCACAAAUCGGUGGCGGAG
rnacentral:misc_RNA from 1 species